UACGGAGGGGGCUAGCGUUGUUCGGAAUUACUGGGCGUAAAGCGCACGUAGGCGGCUUUGUAAGUUAGAGGUGAAAGCCCGGGGCUCAACUCCGGAAUUGCCUUUAAGACUGCAUCGCUAGAAUUGUGGAGAGGUAAGUGGAAUUCCGAGUGUAGAGGUGAAAUUCGUAGAUAUUCGGAAGAACACCGGUGGCGAAGGCGGAUCUCUGGGCCAUUACUGACGCUGAGGAGCGAAAGCGUGGGGAGCGAACAGG
rnacentral:rRNA from 1 species